rnacentral:rRNA from 1 species
UACGGGGGGGGCAAGCGUUGUUCGGAAUUACUGGGCGUAAAGGGCUCGUAGGUGGCCAACUAAGUCAGACGUGAAAUCCCUCGGCUUAACCGGGGAACUGCAUCUGAUACUGGAUGGCUAGAGAUUGGGAGAGGGAUGCGGAAUUCCAGGUGUAGCGGUGAAAUGCGUAGAGAUCAGGAAGAACAUCGGUGGCGAAGGCGCUCUGCUGGACCAUAACUGACACUCAGGGACGAAAGCUAGGGGAGCGAAUGGG